CAGUAGCCGCGGUAAUACGUAGGGUGCAAGCGUUAAUCGGAAUUACUGGGCGUAAAGCGUGCGCAGGCGGUUUGUUAAGACAGAUGUGAAAUCCCCGGGCUCAACCUGGGAACUGCAUUUGUGACUGGCAGGCUAGAGUAUGGCAGAGGGGGGUGGAAUUCCGCGUGUAGCAGUGAAAUGCGUAGAUAUGCGGAGGAACACCGAUGGCGAAGGCAGCCCCCUGGGCCAAUACUGACGCUCAUGCACGAAAGCGUGGGGAGCAAACAGGAUUAGAUACCCCCGUAGUCCCUGUCUCUUAUAC
rnacentral:rRNA from 1 species